rnacentral:rRNA from 1 species
GAUCCUGGCUCAGGAUGAACGCUGGCGGCGUGCCUAACACAUGCAAGUCGAACGAGGUAAAUGAGAUGAAGUUUUCGGAUGGAUUCUUAUUUACCGAGUGGCGGACGGGUGAGUAACGCGUGGGUAACCUGCCUCAUACAGGGGGAUAACGGUUAGAAAUGACUGCUAAUACCGCAUAAGCGCACAGUACCGCAUGGUAUAGUGUGAAAAACUCCGGUGGUAUGAGAUGGACCCGCGUCUGAUUAG